rnacentral:rRNA from 1 species
AUUGAACGCUGGCGGCAUGCCUUACACAUGCAAGUCGAACGGCAGCACGGGGCAACCUGGUGGCGAGUGGCGAACGGGUGAGUAAUGCAUCGGAACGUGCCAUUGAGUGGGGGAUAACGUAGCGAAAGUUGCGCUAAUACCGCAUAUUCUGUGAGCAGGAAAGCAGGGGACCGCAAGGCCUUGCGCUCUUUGAGCGGCCGAUGUCAGAUUAGCUAGUUGGUGAGGUAACGGCUUACCAAGGCGACGAUCUGUAGCGGGUCUGAGAGGAUCGAUCCGCCACACUGGAACUGAGACACGGUCCAGACUCCUACGGAGGCAGCAGUGGGGAAUUUUGGACAAUGGCGCAAGCCUGAUCCAGCCAUGCCGCGUGAGUGAAGAAGGACCUCGGUU